rnacentral:rRNA from 1 species
GCUUGCUGUGGGUGGAUGAGUGGCGAACGGGUGAGUAACACGUGAGUAACCUGCCCCCGAUUUCGGGAUAAGCCCGGGAAACUGGGUCUAAUACCGGAUAUGACCAGAGGACGCAUGUUCUCUGGUGGAAAGUUUUUCGAUCGGGGAUGGGCUCGCGGCCUAUCAGCUUGUUGGUGGGGUAAUGGCCUACCAAGGCGACGACGGGUAGCCGGCCUGAGAGGGCGACCGGCCACACUGGGACUGAGACACGGCCCAGACUCCUACGGGAGGCAGCAGUGGGGAAUAUUGCACAAUGGGGGAAACCCUGAUGCAGCGACGCAGCGUGCGGGAUGACGGCCUUCGGGUUGUAAACCGCUUUCAGCAGGGAAGAAGCGAAAGUGACGGUACCUGCAGAAGAAGUACCGGCUAACUACGUGCCAGCAGCCGCGGUAAUACGUAGGGUACGAGCGUUGUCCGGAAUUAUUGGGCGUAAAGAGCUCGUAGGUGGUUGGUCACGUCUGCUGUGGAAACGCAACGCUUAACGUUGCGCGGGCAGUGGGUACGGGCUGACUAGAGUGCAGUAGGGGAGUCUGGAAUUCCUGGUGUAGCGGUGAAAUGCGCAGAUAUCAGGAGGAACACCGGUGGCGAAGGCGGGACUCUGGGCUGUAACUGACACUGAGGAGCGAAAGCAUGGGGAGCGAACAGGAUUAGAUACCCUGGUAGUCCAUGCCGUAAACGUUGGGCACUAGGGUGUGGGGGACAUUCCACGUUCUCCGCGCCGUAGCUAACGCAUUAAGUGGCCCGCCUGGGGGAGUACGG